rnacentral:rRNA from 1 species
CAGCAGCCGCGGGAAUACGAAGGGUGCAAGCGUUACUCGGAAUUACUGGGCGUAAAGCGUGCGUAGGUGGUGGUUUAAGUCCGUUGUGAAAGCCCCGGGCUCAACCUGGGAAUUGCAGUGGAUACUGGGUCACUAGAGUGUGGUAGAGGAUAGUGGAAUUUCCGGUGUAGCGGUGAAAUGCGUAGAGAUCGGGAGGAACAUCAGUGGCGAAGGCGGCCAUCUGGGACAACACUGACGCUGAGGCACGAAAGCGUGGGGAGCAAACAGGAUUAGAUACCCCGGUAGUCCCUGUCUCUUAUAC